GAUGAACGCUGGCGGCGUGCCUAAUACAUGCGAGUCGAGCGAACGGACGAGAAGCUUGCUUCUCUGAUGUUAGCGGCGGACGGGCGAGUAACACGUGGAUAACCUACCUAUAAGACUGGGGUAACUUCGGGAAACCGUAGCUAAUACCGGAUAAUAUUUUGAACCGCAUGGUUCAAAAGUGAAAGACGGUCUUGCUGUCACUUAUAGAUGGAUCCGCGCUGCAUUAGCUAGUUGGUAAGGUAACGGCUUACCAAGGCAACGAUGCAUAGCCGACCUGAGAGGGUGAUCGGCCACACUGGAACUGAGACACGGUCCAGACUCCUACGGGAGGCAGCAGUAGGGAAUCUUCCGCAAUGGGCGAAAGCCUGACGGAGCAACGCCGCGUGAGUGAUGAAGGUCUUCGGAUCGUAAAACUCUGUUAUUAGGGAAGAACAUAUGUGUAAGUAACUGUGCACAUCUUGACGGUACCUAAUCAGAAAGCCACGGCUAACUACGUG
rnacentral:rRNA from 1 species